rnacentral:lncRNA from 1 species
UUGGUGUCAAAUUCUAUUAGUCCUCCAAGAUCAGGUUUUAAGCAAUGUGGCUGAUUAUACUUCCCUAAGUUUUUGUGUAUUGUAAUAUUUCCUUAUGUUUAAAGCAGUUGUAUUUUGGGAGACAACAAAUAAAUGUUUUCUCCUGUUUAUUUCUUUCCACAGUCUUCUGUCUCCCUUCAUGCACAUACAGAUGAAUUCUCUGUAGUUUCUCCAGGGGGUGAUAACAGCAAGGCUCCUUCCCUCUGGAAACACAUGCAACUUUGUUGGAGUAAUAAAAACACCGAAAAGGAGAACCAGCAGCAGAUGCAGGUAUGCAGGAGUUCACAACUUGCUGAGAGGAGCUUAAUGAUGAAGAUGUGCUUCCUAAGCAUUCAAGAUGUUUCAGAGGACUUUGCAAAAAUGUGGUAAUUAAAUUCACUGUCCCCCUUAUAUCAGGUGGGUAUUUAAUUGAAAAGGGGCAGACCUGAUACUUCUGCAGCCACUGGCAGCAAGCGCAUUU